GCAAGUCGAGCGGAAACGAAGAGGUGCUUGCACCUCUGGCGUCGAGCGGCGGACGGGUGAGUAAUGCUUGGGAAUAUGCCUUAUGGUGGGGGACAACAGUUGGAAACGACUGCUAAUACCGCAUGAUGUCUACGGACCAAAGUGGGGGACCUUCGGGCCUCACGCCAUAAGAUUAGCCCAAGUGGGAUUAGCUAGUUGGUGAGGUAAUGGCUCACCAAGGCGACGAUCCCUAGCUGGUUUGAGAGGAUGAUCAGCCACACUGGGACUGAGACACGGCCCAGACUCCUACGGGAGGCAGCAGUGGGGAAUAUUGCACAAUGGGCGCAAGCCUGAUGCAGCCAUGCCGCGUGUGUGAAGAAGGCCUUCGGGUUGUAAAGCACUUUCAGUAAGGAGGAAAGGUUAAGUGUUAAUAGCACUUAGCUGUGACGUUACUUACAGAAGAAGCACCGGCUAACUCCGUGCCAGCAGCCGCGGUAAUACGGAGGGUGCGAGCGUUAAUCGGAAUUACUGGGCGUAAAGCGUACGCAGGCGGUUUGUUAAGCGAGAUGUGAAAGCCCCGGGCUCAACCUGGGAACUGCAUUUCGAACUGGCAAACUAGAGUGUGAUAGAGGGUGGUAGAAUUUCAGGUGUAGCGGUGAAAUGCGUAGAGAUCUGAAGGAAUACCGAUGGCGAAGGCAGCCACCUGGGUCAACACUGACGCUCAUGUACAAAAGCGUGGGGAG
rnacentral:rRNA from 1 species